AGAGUUUGAUCAUGGCUCAGGAUGAACGCUAGCGGCAGGCUUAAUACAUGCAAGUCGAACGGGUGGCAACACCAGUGGCGCACGGGUGAGUAACGCGUACACAAUCUGCCCUUGGUUGUGGAAUAGCAUCUGGAAACGGGUGGUAAUACCACAUGCGACCUUGAGAGGCAUCUUUCGGGGUUAAAAGGUUACGACUAAGGAUGAGUGUGCGUCUGAUUAGGUAGUUGGUGGGGUAACGGCCUACCAAGCCUACGAUCAGUAGGGGGUGUGAGAGCAUGGCCCCCCACAUGGGUACUGAGACACGGACCCAACUCCUACGGGAGGCAGCAGUAAGGAAUAUUGGGCAAUGGCCGAAAGGCUGACCCAGCCAUGCCGCGUGAAGGAAUAAGGUCCUCUGGAUUGUAAACUUCUUUUAGUCGGGGAGAAAGUCCGUAGUUUACUAUGGUUUGACGUUACCGACAGAAUAAGCACCGGCUAACUCCGUGCCAGCCGCCGCGGUAAUUC
rnacentral:rRNA from 1 species